UACGUAGGGCGCAAGCGUUAUCCGGAAUUAUUGGGCGUAAAGAGCUCGUAGGCGGUUUGUCGCGUCUGCCGUGAAAGUCCGGGGCUCAACUCCGGAUCUGCGGUGGGUACGGGCAGACUAGAGUGAUGUAGGGGAGAGUGGAAUUCCUGGUGUAGCGGUGAAAUGCGCAGAUAUCAGGAGGAACACCGGUGGCGAAGGCGGGUCUCUGGGCAGCAACUGACGCUGAGGAGCGAAAGCGUGGGGAGCGAACAGG
rnacentral:rRNA from 1 species